GAGGGAGAAGAAGGUGUGGCAAAUGCAGCAGCAGAAGGAGGUACUGGAGUUGGAAGCCGACACAUCUCAGAGGGUGGCUACGUGUGCCUUCGCUCGGGGAUAUCUUUCAGACCUAGUGCACUCUGUCUUCUUCUGUUUGACCGACAGCAGCUAUUUCUAAAAACCCAUGUACUCAAUCAUACGGGAUGUCUUAAAGGCCAGGAAGAGAGAAUUUGAGAAGCUGGAGGCUGCUAAUCUCGUUGAUGGACUGUAGAUGCCAACACUGUUGUGCAACUGUAAAUACAUAUGGGAGUUGUGUGGAGUGCUGAUGGGUGAAUGCCUUGUAAACCUGUGAUUGAGCUUGAAAAUACAAGUGUCUCUUCCUUUUUUUAUAGUGAAAUCGAAUAAUGAUGUCAAGGUGUUGUAAAACGAGAAGUUAUCUUACGUAUUCAAAGAGUAAACCAAAUAGAUGGUUUAUCUGGUUAUUCCGUCUGCCGACAACCCUGGUUGGCAGUUAUAAUUUGUCUACUAGUAACCCUCUACCCAUGGAAAUAUUACUACCCAAUAGAAUUGAUAAUCUACCCACAUUCCAUUCCAUGUAAUGUCUAGAUCACAUCUAUCCUAGAAAAAGACUAGAACAUGUAGAAGUAGGGUUUAUAUUACUGUAAACAAGCUAGACAGCUUUCUUACACACUUAUGACUAAGCUUCACUAGGCUGUGUUACUUUCAUGUAAACUGCUAUUACUACUGUCAUUCGCAAUAUAUACAGUUACUAUAUAGUGCAACGACAUUUUAUUUCGUCUUCAAAAAACCUGCUACAUCACUAGAUAAAUGUAGUAUUGCGUGGCAUGCACCAUGCAGCAAGUUUCAUUUUAUUAUUUUUCCUUCAUCUGUCUUAUUAUUUAGAAUUUGCCAGUGUGCGCCAUGGUUUUAAAAUGCGUUUUAAAACUGGUGCAUUGUAUGUUUACUUACUUACAUUACUUAAUACACUGCAGACGUGUUCUCUACACAUGAGGUUAAGCUGGUCACUUAUGAGCAACCAUAGUGAGAAAACUACGCACCUAUUACCAGGAAUGAAUAAUGACAGACUGUCAUUAUUCGCUCCUGCUAUUACUACACGCAUUCUGACAGAUUAAGCUGAGCUUAAGGUGACACGUGACUUCAUUUCCAUCA
rnacentral:lncRNA from 1 species